CGCAACAAAUCUGGACGACAUCAUCUCAGCGCAAAAGGGCGAAGAACACCAUCAAAAACAAGCAGCAGCCUGCUCAUUCGAAUCAUCGCGCCUUUUGACCGAACUUUGCAUCCCCUAUCUCCGCGAUUUUACACGCAUAUUAAGCUCCAUACAACUCAUCUGUGCUUGGAACAAAUCGAUAGAAUCACGAAGUCCAGUUUUAAGAAAACCUAAUUCGGGCCAAUAAUUGUGCGCUGCGGGCAGAACCGCGAGGAGAAAUACAAAACAGCAGCCAUGCGGAUCGUGGAGGUUAUCAUUGACGGGUUUAAAUCUUAUGCUGUGCGCACUGUGAUAUCAGGAUGGGACGAAUCCUUCAACUCGAUCACCGGCCUCAACGGCUCUGGCAAAUCCAACAUCCUCGACAGUAUCUGCUUUGUUCUCGGAAUCACAAAUAUGAGCACUGUACGCGCCCAGAAUUUGCAAGACCUGAUCUACAAGCGCGGCCAAGCAGGAGUCACGAAAGCUAGCGUGACCAUAGUAUUUGAUAAUCGCGACAAGUCGAAAUCACCAAUUGGAUUCGAGGAAUAUGCGAGCAUAUCGGUGACGAGGCAGAUUGUAUUGGGCGGCACCAGCAAAUACCUGAUUAAUGGACACCGCGCGCAACAGCAGACUGUGCAGAACCUUUUCCAAAGUGUGCAGCUGAAUAUCAAUAAUCCGAAUUUCUUGAUUAUGCAAGGGCGAAUUACGAAGGUGUUAAAUAUGAAACCGGUGGAGAUUUUGUCGAUGAUUGAAGAGGCAGCUGGAACACGUAUGUUUGAGGAUAGAAAGGAAAAGGCUGGAAAGACGAUGGCAAAGAAGGAGACAAAGGUGCGGGAAAUCGAGGGACUGCUGAAGGAGGAAAUUGAGCCGAAACUUGAGAAAUUAAGAGGGGAGAAGAGAGCUUUCUUGGAUUUCCAGCAAACUCAAAGUGACCUCGAGCGUCUGACUAGGCUUGUUGUUGCCCAUGACUAUUUGAAGAAUGGGGAGCGGUUACGCCUGGCUGGAGAGGAAUUUGACAACAAAAAGCGAAAAGUUACCGAGCUAGAGAAUAGCAUUGCGCGGCUCAAGGGUGAAAUAUCUCAUCUGGAGGAAGAUGUGAAGAGGGUAAAAGCGCUUCGAGAGAAGGAGCUUAGAAAAGGGGGCAAAUUCCAAGCGUUGGAAGACCAAGUUAAAACUCACUCCCAUGAAAUGGUGCGAUUGGCCACUCUGUUAGACUUGAAGACCUCGAGCAUGGCGGAUGAAUCAGAAAAGAGAGAAACGAUGGAAAAGACAGUGAUUGAAUUGCAAGCUCUACUGAAAGGGAAACGGAAAAUUUAUGAUGAAUUACAAGCCAAGUAUGAUGAUGCAAAAGCUGGGCUGGACAGACAGACGGCUGAAGUUGAACAGAAAGAAGAGCUUCUUCAAACACUGCAAACAGGCGUUGCGUCCAAGGAAGGCCAGGAAAACGGCUACC
rnacentral:sRNA from 1 species